CUAAGAUGCUAUAAAAAGCAGAAUAUCACCUCCCUGUGCUGCUUUGCAGACCAGCCAGAGCAUCAGGUUUUUGCUGCCCAGCCCAAGGCACGGGGUAGCAAUCACCUUCCUGAGCAUUUCCCCUCUUUCUUAGAGACUAUUUUUGCCAUUACCAUGCUGAGCUGCUUUCUGGAGUUGUAAGGUGCUGGGUGCUGAUACAGUGAGCACCUCUUGUCUUUGUUUAAUCCAAUAACAUCACUCUUCUUUUUAAUCUCCACGUCUAGGUCACAGGGUUUAAAAAAGGCACUGGGGCAAAUCCCCUGCUUGGCUACAAGGUGUGGAAACCUACUGAGAAGGCAAGAAAAGUCAGAAGAGAUUCGCUGUAUGUGCAUCCUAUAGAAGAGGUCUCAAGGGGCAGGCAUGCGAGUGCCUCAUUUCACAGAUGGAUGCGUAUCAGCACAAGGGAGAAAAACUUGUUUCUUUUCGAUGCUGCUAAAGGGAACAUGAUGUUUUAUGGACUCAGGAACAAGGAGGAGGUUUUGCAGGAAUUGGGAAGAUUUUACAUAUAAAUGUUAAAAUAAAAAUGGCAAAAUACAUCCAGGCACAAAGUGCAGCAGAAAUCGAGGGGAGAAGUGGACAGCACUGCCUGUAAAGAAGGGUAUAAGCAAGAAUGGCAAAAAGAUGGUCGGAAUGAGUCCAUCGCAUGAACGAUUCUCCACAGAUUUCCUAUACAAAGCUAUAUGGGGGCAACCUUCAGGGUUCCCCUGUAGAGCAAAGGAUCCUGAGCUUGAAAAAGGGAGGCAGAUUUUGUAAGGGAUUUGCACAUCAUGCGGUGACCCUGAAUUGCAGAUUUUAAGCAUUACUAAAUUGGGGAAUAAAAUUGUUGCUUUUGCUAUUACAUACCAGGAUAUCUCUCUAAUCCAUGCAAUCCACUAAGUUGUUGUGGUUUUAGUCUGUGUUUAUUUUAGAGGAAAUUAUGGCCUGGGCAGUUAAUUUUUCUUAGUUUAUCCAUUUAAUUCAUAUAGAAGUAAGAUACCAACCAGAAAUCACAACAUGACGUGUGUUUUUGGUACCCUCCCCAUUGUGUGAACCUGUCAGUGAUGGAGCCCCACACCAAGUUUAAAAGUCAAACACAAAGGCAACUGAAAACCAAAAGUUGUCUUGAAAAGUAGCCCCAUUGGCACUGAAUUGUCUGGUUUUAAUGCUAUGGGUGGGCUAUUUUGCUUAUAUUUGAGACUGCCUAGCCAUGAUGGGAUUGCCUCCACUGGCCCUUUUCCUUACAUCAAGCUGAUUAGGUAUUAACUUGAGGCACUUGGCACAUCUGAAAGGUUGGAGAAGGUCCUUUCUGAACAGCAGCUGAGUUUAGAAAUGCCUGUUCCUUUACAGGGGAUGGUUCCUAAGGUGAGGAGCAAACCCAGAGGAAACAAAGAGUCUAGAACCAAAGUGGCUUUUGGAAGAAGUGUCUCGAGUGGCAGACAGCUACCUGGAAAUAAAAACCCUCUCAUAUAUCCAAAGGUUUUCAGUGGGAUUUUCAAGAGCUCCUAAGCAAUUUAAAGUCCUUGGAAGGAAUGCACUAUAGAAUGAAAAAUAUAAGUAUUAUUAAAGAAUAUCUCCAAAGUGAAAGCCAUAAACAUGAGCUAAACCCCAACAACAGGUAUCUGUUUCCUAUAUGAACUGUAUGGUUUGCAUUUUUGAAGUCACUUCUAAACCAGUGGGUAUUUUCUUCACUGUUGCCAUUGGGAGGAACAGUAAAAGAAUGAUAAAUAAAUGAGGUUAAGGUAAUCUAAUUAAAAGAAAUAAACACGGUGCUUUCAUCUUCCUUUCAUAUCCAGUCAUUUGGGAUCGAACUUAAAAGAAACAGAUAAAAAUUCAGAGAGGAUUUUGAAGGACAACUGUUUCCCUUUAAGAUUAAUGAUAAACACACUUGUGUGUUCAAGGCAGAAUAGAUCCAGUGUUAUGUAAGGGGAUAAAGAAACAAAAUCCUUUUUUGCUUAAAUUAAAAGAACCAGUAUGUGUGUGGAGUUUCGUCAAUCACUCAAAAUUCAGGAAACCCAUUUUCUUUCACAACUGCAUUCCUCACGCUGGGAUUGAUGGCUUACAACUUUGAAACAGAAUCACAGCAAUUAGAAAACAAAAAAGAUUUGUUUCUUCUGUUUGACCACACUUCGACAACAGAGGAUUGUGCCCUGAGGAAGAUUCUGCAGCACUUGCCCUGUGCAACAGCCUGAAUUGGUCCUCAUCUUUUUCUUUUCUGCGGCAUUAGUAAACCCAGUUAUUGCACUUCCCAGUUGUUUUCCUCUUUUAAUCUGCUUACCUCGUACUAGAUGUAUGGUAAUUUCUCUCUUAUAAUCAUUUUUUAGCCUGAACUAUUACAUAACUGCUCAUAUCAAAUCUUAUCAAUGCCUGCCUAAAUCUGCCUCAAAUGGGACAAGAUCAACAGGUAAUGGAAUUCUUUAAUGUUGGCAUUGUCCUCUGCUGGCUCAAUCACAUAUAAUCUGCAAAAAAAAAAAAAGCACAGAAAGAAUAUCCUACCAUAUAACCUGCAUUUUCCACUUCUGUAUUUCACAAAAGCACUCACACCACAACUUCUGCAUCAGAAGUUGAUACAUAAAGUUCCUCUUUACCACAUGAAUUCAGUUUUCCAAAAGAAGGCAAAUGAAGGCUAUUAAUAACCAAGA